rnacentral:lncRNA from 1 species
UUUUUUCUUAAAUAAAAAUAGGUGGUGGACUUACAGUUGUCAGCUCCUGGUUUAGAGGAUUAACUUUAGAAUGAAAGGUCAAAGUGUAGCUGUCUUAAGAGGACCAGAGCUGGAGUUAGCUGCAGCUCUUCAUGACUGUUGUUCCUUUCUGAAGUUAUAAAGAAAUUAAGGUUUCUUGUGGAGGAGCCCUUUCCUGUCUCCUUUGGUUAAUACCUCCUGAAGACCAGUGGACAGUGUUUCUCUUUGGCAUCUGUUUUGUUCAUUUCCUUUCUGCACUCUUAUUCUAAAUAUGGAAGAAUAAGCUCCAGUUUUUCUAGUAACUUUCCAUUAGGACAGGUGUCUGAAGUCAAAUUUCCUGCCUUUGCUAAUGAAUUUUGAAUAAGCCAACUAGUAGUUUUAAGGUUCAUAUGCUUUGCUGUGUUCUUGCAUGUCUCAGGAUAAUAUUUUCCUCAUUGCAAGAAUGUGUCACUGUUGAAGACCUGUGCUAGCUAUGGUCCUUGUUAUUUGUAGUGCUACCCCACCUGACUGGGGAGCAAUCCCUGGAGAUCCAGCUAUUUUUCAUGUAACAGACCUAACCAGCAUUCUAGCAGUCAUAGUAGAUAUUUAUCUUCUAAUGAUAGCCACUAAUCACAUGUGGCUAUAAAAUUUCUCAAGUUAAAAAUACAGUUAUAUUCAAAUCUGCAUUUCAAAUGCUUAGUAGUUGGGGCUGGG